GGCUUUGAAGUGUGGACGCCAGUCUGCAUGGAGCCGACCUUGAAAUACCACCCUUUAAUGUUUGAUGUUCUAACGUGGACCCGUAAUCCGGGUUGCGGACAGUGUCUGGUGGGUAGUUUGACUGGGGCGGUCUCCUCCUAAAGAGUAACGGAGGAGCACGAAGGUUGGCUAAUCCUGGUCGGACAUCAGGAGGUUAGUGCAAUGGCAUAAGCCAGCUUGACUGCGAGCGUGACGGCGCGAGCAGGUGCGAAAGCAGGUCAUAGUGAUCCGGUGGUUCUGAAUGGAAGGGCCAUCGCUCAACGGAUAAAAGGUACUCCGGGGAUAACAGGCUGAUACCGCCCAAGAGUUCAUAUCGACGGCGGUGUUUGGCACCUCGAUGUCGGCUCAUCACAUCCUGGGGCUGAAGUAGGUCCCAAGGGUAUGGCUGUUCGCCAUUUAAAGUGGUACGCGAGCUGGGUUUAGAACGUCGUGAGACAGUUCGGUCCCUAUCUGCCGUGGGCGCUGGAGAACUGAGGGGGGCUGCUCCUAGUACGAGAGGACCGGAGUGGACGCAUCACUGGUGUUCGGGUUGUCAUGCCAAUGGCACUGCCCGGUAGCUAAAUGCGGAAGAGAUAAGUGCUGAAAGCAUCUAAGCACGAAACUUGCC
rnacentral:rRNA from 1 species